rnacentral:rRNA from 1 species
AGUGAACGCUGGCGGCGUGCCUAAUACAUGCAAGUCGAACGGAGUGGCGCACGGGUGAGUAAUGUAUAGCUAAUCUGCACUACACUAGAGGGCAACAGUUGGAAACGGCUGCUAAUACUCUAUAGUGUAGGAUGAGGCUAUAUUGUAUCAGCUAGUUGGUGAGGUAAUGGCUCACCAAGGCUAUGACGAUUAACUGGUAUGAGAGGAUGAUCAGUAACACGCGAACGGAGACACGGUCGGGACUCCUACGGGAAGGAGCGGUAGGGAAUAUUGCUCAUGGGGGGAAACCGUGAAGGAUCAACGCCGCGUGGAGUAUGACACUUUUCGGAGCGUAAACUCCUUUUGUUAGGGAAGCGGUACCUAACGAAUAAGCACCGGCUAACUCCGUGCCAGCAGCCGCGGUAAUAC